GCCAACUUGCGAAAGUGAGCGAAUCCCAAAAAGUGCGUCGUAGUCCGGAUUGGAGUCUGCAACUCGACUCCAUGAAGUCGGAAUCGCUAGUAAUCGUGGAUCAGAAUGCCACGGUGAAUACGUUCCCGGGCCUUGUACACACCGCCCGUCACACCAUGGGAGUGGGCUGCAAAAGAAGUAGGUAGUUUAACCUUCGGGGGGACGCUUACCACUUUGUGGUUCAUGACUGGGGUGAAGUCGUAACAAGGUAGCGCUAGGGGAACCUGGCGCUGGAUCACCUCCUUAUACGAUGAU
rnacentral:rRNA from 1 species